rnacentral:rRNA from 1 species
GUGAGGAAUAUUGGUCAAUGGGCGGGAGCCUGAACCAGCCAAGUCGCGUGAAGGAAGAAGGAUCUAUGGUUCGUAAACUUCUUUUGCAGGGGAAUAAAGUGCAGGACGUGUCCUGUUUUGUAUGUACCCUGAGAAUAAGGAUCGGCUAACUCCGUACCAGCAGCCGCGGUAAUACGGAGGAUCCGAGCGUUAUCCGGAUUUAUUGGGUUUAAAGGGUGCGUAGGUGGUUUGAUAAGUCAGCGGUGAAAGUUUGCAGCUUAACUGUAAAAAUGCCGUUGAAACUGUCGGACUUGAGUGUAAAUGAGGUAGGCGGAAUGCGUGGUGUAGCGGUGAAAUGCAUAGAUAUCACGCAGAACUCCGAUUGCGAAGGCAGCUUACUAAGCUACAACUGACACUGAAGCACGAAAGCGUGGGGAUCAAACAGGAUUAGAUACCCGGGUAGUCC